GACGAACGCUGGCGGCGUGCUUAACACAUGCAAGUCGAACGGAAAGGCCCCCUUGUGGGGUACUCGAGUGGCGAACGGGUGAGUAACACGUGAGUAACCUACCCUUGACUUUGGGAUAACUUCAGGAAACUGGGGCUAAUACCGGAUAGGAGCUCCUGCUGCAUGGUGGGGGUUGGAAAGUUUCGGCGGUUGGGGAUGGACUCGCGGCUUAUCAGCUUGUUGGUGGGGUAGUGGCUCACCAAGGCUUUGACGGGUAGCCGGCCUGAGAGGGGGACCGGCCACAUUGGGGCUGAGGUGCGGCCCGGGCUGCUACGGGAGGCAGCAGUGGGGAAUAUUGCACAAUGGGCGGAAGCCUGAUGCAGCAACGCCGCGUGCGGGAUGACGGCCUUCGGGUUGUAAACCGCUUUCGCCUGUGACGAAGCGUGAGUGACGGUAAUGGGUAAAGAAGCACCGGCUAACUACGUG
rnacentral:rRNA from 1 species